rnacentral:lncRNA from 1 species
UGGGAUUGCAAGAAAAGGGUGUGAAGGGUGUCAUGUCUUGAAAGGAAAUUGCAUUCUCUCAAAAGUUGAUGUAACUGCCACAGUUGACUAGAUUACCUGCUGGGAAAAUUAAUUAACUAGUAAAUUAAUUAUAAACAACUAUGUCUUUAUACUGAGUGUUAGAGUGAUGUCUACAUACAGAUGAACCUACAGUUGGUGCCAAGUUACCACUUGGCUGAGCUUCAUUUUAUUUAAUUAAUUAGUUAGUUAACUAAUUACCAUCCAGAAACCCUUCUUCCUUUCCUCCCAGUCCCUCCCUCUCAUCUCUUGUGCUGUGCCUCUCUUUCUCCUCAAAGAAGGGACAACCUUCCAUAGAUAUCAACCCACCUUGGCAUAUUAAGUUGUAGUAGGACUGUGCACAUCUUCUAUUGAGGCUACAAGGCUGUCCUUAGGGCAGAGGAACCUAAGAGCAGGCAACAGAUUCAAAGACAGCCUCUUGAGCCUCAUUUUAGAAUUGGUCCAUAAGUCCCUGCUCACGCAAGCCGUGCAGCUGAGUGUGUCUACAGUCUUUUCUUCCUUUAAUUUUCAGACCUACACAGUUCAGCUUGUAGGUUGUUCAUAGCUGAUUUAUUAUGGCAAUAAUAUAUUAUAGUGGUGCCACAAAUUGAGGACUUAAGUUGGGAUGCCAUCUUCCUCAAGAAUGUCAGUGUGUUGCUGUAUAUUUAAUGAUUUGAUUUGUUUGUUUGUUUUUCCUGGUAAGAAACACUCAGCAUGCUACUGAAUUCUUAUUCAAAAAUUACGUUUUACUUAGCAGAGUUUUACUAAACCUUGCUGAUGAAUUUUGCUAAUUCUUGAGUAUCACUAACUUUUACAACAAAUUCUGACGUGGCAAAUUAAAUUUGAAAACCACAGAGAAACAUGUUUCCCUCAGAGGUAAGAAGUCAGUUUCUGUGGAUCCCCAACAAAGGUUUCUUCCCUUUCAAAACAAUGCUGUUUUGUUUGUUUGUUGUUGUUGUUGUUGUUGUUUUUCUUAAUGGAUUGGGCACCCGAUCUCUGUAUCAUCUAGAAUUAAGAAUUAGAGCCUCUCUUCCCAGAAUUAUUUUCAGUGACUGUCACCACCCUGUUUGUAACCCCAAUCCCAUAUGUUGGUUACUUUCAGAGGAAGGUUCCAAUUCAAAUAAAACAAAACAAACGGUCACUUGAAAUGUGGGUCAGCCUGUGUUCAUUAUAAGUCUUGUGGAUGGAUGCUAACACUCUACUUCUUUUCCUUUGUAAAACCCAUGGAAGGUACCUGUCUCUGUUUAGAAUGUUGACCUUUUGGGGGAUAAAGGAGGUGAGCUCCUGGUUUCUUCAGCUAGUCCUCCUGGGUUUAGGUGCCAGCAAAUGGAGAACUACUAGGAAUUCUGACAAAGAGAGGCAUUCAUGUGGAGUAGAUCCCAGCUAAAGAUCAGCUAUUUAAAACAAAACAAAACAAAAUAAAACACAACUAGCUGUCCAAAAUCAUCACCAUUUCCUACUUUAAGUCAAAGAAAUCAUUGUGUCCUGCUUAAGCCUCAUGUGCAGUUCAUUCCACUGACCCUUCCUUAAUUUUGGCUGAAGGAUAUUUUUAAUGACUUGGUAUGUGUGGGAGUCAUGUGAGGCCAAGUUCUGGUCAGGCUCAAAAGAGAUGAAACAGUAAUGAAAUGCUUGAGGAAUUCAAGGGGGAAAAAAAAAGCCUUAAAGAAAAGUGCCUUAUUUUAGACCUGUUUAAUAUAACCGACCUAAUCAUUUCAGAGAGAUGCACAAAGAGAUAUUCACAACCUUCUGAGGAAAACCUGUUUUUAAAAAUUAAAGCCUUGAGCAAGACCUCAAAAUACACAGAGCUCUCCUUUAUAUUUGUUUGCAAACGAGUACUUAACUCCAAUGUGACAGCAAUUCAUUCUCACCUAUGUGGAAAAGACCAGAGGCUUGAGAAGAGCUCACAGCGUGGUCAGGGAGAGGCCUAGCCUAGGGGGUGCCAACCGGUGGUACAGCAAGUUGGUUCCUGUAGUCGUGGAAUGUGACCUAGAAGAUUGGAGUAAGGUAUGCUUUCUCCUGGGAAUCCCAGUUUUAACUAUCCUGACUCCAGACAUAGCACAUUGAAGGUGUGCCAUUCCUGAGGCUGGUCCUGGUAGUCAGAACAUUUCAGUAGUAUGGUAUGAUGAGCACAUGCAAAACACACAAACACACACACACACGCACACACACACACACACACACACACACACACACACACACACAAAGACAGAAAACAAACUAUGAGCUUUGAAACAACAUCAUGAAAGUAUCCUCCUUGUCCUCUCCAUCUUCUCACUAGCUUCUUCACUCUCAGCGGCUCCAUAUGGCAUAGUGAAGGCUCCAUCAUGGCUCCAGUCUUUAUGCUCCAUGAGGAUAUAUCUUCUGCUUGUUUUCAAAUAUAUUUGCUCCUUGCCUGAUACUGGACACCACCGGGUCCACAAUUAACACCUAUUGACUAACUAGCGAUGCAUUUUAAAUAAGACAUACAGUAAAAUGUCUCCAACAAUAUCAAAUUGUAUAAAACCUCUAGUGUAAGAUGCAUAUCAACCACUUGAGAAACUUGAGAAACACUUUUAGUCAGUGGGAUGAAGUAGAAAUUGAGUGUCAUUUCAGAUGAAGUAUGGAGUGAAGACAUGGAGAUCAAGGGCUAUUUGUUCGCAAUGUUUAUGAACUUCUCAUUAAGCAUAUUAAAAGCAUUGCUGAUCUCACCGAAACCAGGAAACUUAGAGUUAAAG